GACGAACGCUGGCGGCGUGCCUAAUACAUGCAAGUAGAACGCUGAAGCUUGGUGCUUGCACCGAGCGGAUGAGUUGCGAACGGGUGAGUAACGCGUAGGUAACCUGCCUGGUAGCGGGGGAUAACUAUUGGAAACGAUAGCUAAUACCGCAUAAGAGUAGAUGUUGCAUGACAUUUGCUUAAAAGGUGCAAUUGCAUCACUACCAGAUGGACCUGCGUUGUAUUAGCUAGUUGGUGGGGUAACGGCUCACCAAGGCGACGAUACAUAGCCGACCUGAGAGGGUGAUCGGCCACACUGGGACUGAGACACGGCCCAGACUCCUACGGGAGGCAGCAGUAGGGAAUCUUCGGCAAUGGACGGAAGUCUGACCGAGCAACGCCGCGUGAGUGAAGAAGGUUUUCGGAUCGUAAAGCUCUGUUGUAAGAGAAGAACGAGUGCGAGAGUGGAAAGUUCACACUGUGACGGUAUCUUACCAGAAAGGGACGGCUAACUACGUGCCAGCAGCCGCGGUAAUACGUAGGUCCCGAGCGUUGUCCGGAUUUAUUGGGCGUAAAGCGAGCGCAGGCGGUUAGAUAAGUCUGAAGUUAAAGGCUGUGGCUUAACCAUAGUACGCUUUGGAAACUGUUUAACUUGAGUGCAAGAGGGGAGAGUGGAAUUCCAUGUGUAGCGGUGAAAUGCGUAGAUAUAUGGAGGAACACCGGUGGCGAAAGCGGCUCUCUGGCUUGUAACUGACGCUGAGGCUCGAAAGCGUGGGGAGCAAACAGG
rnacentral:rRNA from 1 species